GACGAACGCUGGCGGCGUGCUUAACACAUGCAAGUCGAACGGAAAGGCCCUGCUUUUGUGGGGUGCUCGAGUGGCGAACGGGUGAGUAACACGUGAGUAACCUGCCCUUGACUUUGGGAUAACUUCAGGAAACUGGGGCUAAUACCGGAUAGGAGCUCCUGCUGCAUGGUGGGGGUUGGAAAGUUUCGGCGGUUGGGGAUGGACUCGCGGUUUAUCAGCUUGUUGGUGGGGUAGUGGCUUACCAAGGCUUUGACGGGUAGCCGGCCUGAGAGGGUGACCGGCCACAUUGGGACUGAGAUACGGCCCAGACUCCUACGGGAGGCAGCAGUGGGGAAUAUUGCACAAUGGGCGGAAGCCUGAUGCAGCAACGCCGCGUGCGGGAUGACGGCCUUCGGGUUGUAAACCGCUUUCGCCUGUGACGAAGCGUGAGUGACGGUAAUGGGUAAAGAAGCACCGGCUAACUACGUG
rnacentral:rRNA from 1 species